AGUGAACGCUGGCGGUAGGCCUAACACAUGCCAGUCGAACGGCAGCACAGUAAGAGCUUGCUCUUACGGGUGGCGAGUGGCGGACGGGUGAGGAAUACAUCGGAAUCUACUUUUUCGUGGGUGAUAACGUAGGGAAACUUACGCUAAUACCGCAUACGACCUACGGGUGAAAGCAUGGGAUCUUCGGACCUUGCGCGAUUGAAUGAGCCGAUGUCGGAUUAGCUAGUUGGCGGGGUAAAGGCCCACCAAGGCGACGAUCCGUAGCUGGUCUGAGAGGAUGAUCAGCCACACUGGAACUGAGACACGGUCCAGACUCCUACGGGAGGCAGCAGUGGGGAAUAUUGGACAAUGGGCGCAAGCCUGAUCCAGCCAUACCGCGUGGGUGAAGAAGGCCUUCGGGUUGUAAAGCCCUUUUGUUGGGAAAGAAAAGCAGCAGGUUAAUACCCCGCUGUUCUGACGGUACCCAAAGAAUAAGCACCGGCUAACUUCGUG
rnacentral:rRNA from 1 species